rnacentral:rRNA from 1 species
GACAGAGGUGCCAAGCGUUAGGCGGAAUCACUGGGCUUAAAGCGUGUAUAGGCGGAAUGGUAAGUACCUUGUGAAAUCCCACGGCUCAACCGUGGAACUGCUUGGUAUACUGCUUUUCUUGAGCCACUUAGGGGCUGUCGGAACAAACGGUGGAGCGGUGAAAUGCGUAGAUAUCAUGGGGAACACCGAAAGCGAAGGCAAGAGACUGGACCACUCCUGACGCUGAAACACGAAAGCGUGGGUCGCGAAUGGG